rnacentral:rRNA from 1 species
GGGAUCCAUCAAGCUUGCUUGGUGGUGAGAGUGGCGAACGGGUGAGUAAUGCGUGACCGACCUGCCCCAUACACCGGAAUAGCUCCUGGAAACGGGUGGUAAUGCCGGAUGUUCCAGUUGAUCGCAUGGUCUUCUGGGAAAGCUUUCGCGGUAUGGGAUGGGGUCGCGUCCUAUCAGCUUGACGGCGGGGUAACGGCCCACCGUGGCUUCGACGGGUAGCCGGCCUGAGAGGGCGACCGGCCACAUUGGGACUGAGAUACGGCCCAGACUCCUACGGGAGGCAGCAGUGGGGAAUAUUGCACAAUGGGCGCAAGCCUGAUGCAGCGACGCCGCGUGAGGGAUGGAGGCCUUCGGGUUGUAAACCUCUUUUAUCGGGGAGCAAGCGUGAGUGAGUUUACCCGUUGAAUAAGCACCGGCUAACUACGUGCCAGCAGCCGCGGUAAUACGUAGGGUGCAAGCGUUAUCCGGAAUUAUUGGGCGUAAAGGGCUCGUAGGCGGUUCGUCGCGUCCGGUGUGAAAGUCCAUCGCUUAACGGUGGAUCCGCGCCGGGUACGGGCGGGCUUGAGUGCGGUAGGGGAGACUGGAAUUCCCGGUGUAACGGUGGAAUGUGUAGAUAUCGGGAAGAACACCAAUGGCGAAGGCAG